AAAAAAAACAAAUUCAAAUAUGAUUCAUGAUUUAAAUAAUUUUUUUUUUGUAAUAUAUCAGAGAUAAAGUAUAUACCUUUCCUAAAUGUUAUUGACUAGUAAAUUAGAAACUGUACAGUUACCUCAACUUAUCCCUAUGUUAAAUAUGUCUACUACUGUACUGCAGGAUCUGUACUCUGAGGGGUACAAUAAAAGUUGCAACAGUCCUACAGUUAAGCUCUGAUUGGCUAACAGCUUAGCCUGUCUCCAAAGCAACAGUGUAUCUCAGGACAAAGACAUCUUCAUCUUCAGUGUGCUUUGUCUCAGAGAAAACAAGAUUAAGUUUAUGCAUUAAAUGCCCUUGAACUUUGGCAGCCAGAAAAAACUGUAUUGAACCCUAACAUGACUGUUGUCAUUUAUACGUUUUUGUGUCCUAAAGAUACACAAAGUUAUGCAUUAACCUAAGUUAAAUGUUUUUAAAGUGACCGUUUUAGAGACACCUUUGAAGACUGAGAAUGAGAGAGAUAUCCAAAAUCAAUACUGCAAUUUGACCUGUGGCGCACGACCCUGUUUAUUCAGGAUAUCAAAGGCAAUUCAUCUGACAUGGGACCUGAUCACAAGAAUGCAAAAGUUGAGCAAUCUUUCAACAACCAAUCAGAGCUCUGUUACCACCAGCAACAGCCCAUACACCAACAAGGCAAUGGAUCCAGGUUUCUGAUUGGUCAAAACUCCAUGAGCACUCAGCUGGCAGCUCCUCCCUUGACUCUCUCUCAUCCACACAGAUUAAGCAACAUCAUCAAAACAAGGAGAGCUUAGCUUUGUUUUCCUGCAGUAGCAUGGCUCCACUCAACAACAGUGGGCUGUGUUUUGCUAUUUGGUGGUAAGAGAGUCUUGUGAAGGCAAGAGGAAAGUAAUAGGGCGAAUCCUUGUUGCCAGGGUUACAGAGUUCUUUGAGGAAGCAGGAAUGAUGAGAUCGGGUGAAAUAUAAUAUGUGCUACUGAAAGCAGGGUGUUGCAUCAGAUACAUUAUGAUUCAAAUGUACAGAAAAAAAAGUAUCUGAUUGGUAGUGCAUAUUAAACUAAAUUUCUUCCUGUGCAUGUGAUGGUGCAGUAUCAAAUAAAUAUACUUAAUGAUUCAUGCUUAAUGUUUACUUUGUUCAGAGACCAAAGAAACUUGAAAACUGUUAGAACUUUGAACUUUCAUGUAAGUAGAACAUAGUAUUGUGUGUGUUGAAUAGGAUUUGUGAAUUAAUUGUUAUUGGUUUGUUAUAUUUUGUUAUUUUUAAUUCAUUGCAUUUUAGUAAAUGUCAAUUUUGUAAACAUUAUUUCUAUUAUUUAAAUGAAUUUUUAUUUACUUAGCAUUAUUUUUAUUUUUUUUACUUUUUUUUGGGGACAGCGG
ensembl:lncRNA